rnacentral:rRNA from 1 species
AUACGUAGGGGGCGAGCGUUGUCCGGAAUCACUGGGCGUAAAGGGUUCGCAGGCGGCCUUGCAAGUCAGAUGUGAAAUCCUUCGGCUUAACCGAAGUAAGCAUUUGAAACUGUAGGGCUUGAGUACAGGAGAGGAGAGCAGAAUUCCUAGUGUAGCGGUGAAAUGCGUAGAUAUUAGGAGGAAUACCAGUGGCGAAGGCGGCUCUCUGGACUGUAACUGACGCUGAGGAACGAAAGCGUGGGUAGCAAACAGGAUUAGAUACCCUGGUAGUCCACGCCGUAAACGAUGAGUGCUAGGUGUCGGAGGCGACAGUCUUCGGUGCCGCAGUUAACGCAUUAAGCACUCCGCCUGGGGAUUACGAUCGCAAGGUUGAA